rfam:Sediminibacillus halophilus strain CGMCC 1.6199 genome assembly, contig: Ga0079860_103
GGGUGAUGCCUCCUUACCCACAUAAAUGUAGACACUCGGUCACGCUGUGGACAGGAUACUUUCCGUGCCAUAGAGGCUUGUCGUCGCCGGCAGGAUGUGAGGGUGGGUUAAAUGCCCG